AUGUCUUUUUGUAAAUAAUAUAAAGUCUAAUCUGCCCACUGAUUUUAAAAUUGAAGGGCUGCAGUAUUUUGACUGUACAAAGGUAGCAUAAUCAUUAGUCAUUUAAUUGGUGACUUGAAUGAAGGAUUGGAUGAGAUAUAAACUGUCUCUUAAUUAUAAUUAUAGAAUUUAAUUUUUUUAUUAAAAAGUUAAAAUAAUUUAAAAAGACGAGAAGACCCUAUAGAGUUUUAUAAGUAUUUUAAUUAAGAUUGUUUUGUAGAUUAAGUUUGAAAUUAAAUUAUUUAUUUUGUUGGGGUGACAAAAAAAUAUAUAAAACUUUUUUUAUAGUAUAUAUAUACACAAUAUGUGUAUAUAGUAAUAGUAGAUUAACAUUUAUAAGUGAUUAAAUGAUCCAGUAAUAUUGAUUAUAAGAAAAAAUUACCUUAGGGAUAACAGCGUAAUUUUUUUUUUUAGUUCAAAUAAGAAAAAGAGUUUGCGACCUCGAUGUUGGAUUAAGAUAAAAUUUAAGUGUAGAAGUUUAAAAUUUUGAUCUGUUCGAUCAUUAAAAUCUUAC
rnacentral:rRNA from 1 species